UACGGGGGGGGGCAAGCGUUGUUCGGAAUUACUGGGCGUAAAGGGCGCGUAGGCGGUUUGCUAAGUCGGAUGUGAAAACUCUGGGCUCAACCCAGAGCCUGCAUCCGAAACUGGCAGGCUAGAGUUCUGGAGGGGGUAGCGGAAUUCCUGGUGUAGCGGUGAAAUGCGCAGAUAUCAGGAGGAACACCGGUGGCGAAGGCGGGUCCCUGGGCCGAUACUGACGCUGAGGAGCGAAAGCGUGGGGAGCGAACAGG
rnacentral:rRNA from 1 species